CAGUGAUCAGAAGCGAGAAUGUUGACAUGAGUAGCGACAAACAGGGUGAGAGACCCUGUCGCCGAAAGUCCAAGGGUUCCUGCUUAAAGCUAAUCUGAGCAGGGUAAGCCGGCCCCUAAGGCGAGGCCGAAAGGCGUAGUCGGUGGGAACCAGGUUAAUAUUCCUGGGCCAGGAGAUGGUGACGGAUCACAGAGGUUGUUCGGUCUUAACGGAUUGAUCGGGCCACUGAGUGGUUCCUGGAAAUAGCCCUCCACAAGACCGUACCCUAAACCGACACAGGUGGACUGGUAGAGAAUACCAAGGCGCUUGAGAGAACCACAUUUAAGGAACUCGGCAAAAUACCUCCGUAAGUUCGCGAGAAGGAGGCCCUGUUUGUACGCAAGUAUGGGCGGGGGGCACAAACCAGGGGGUGGCGACUGUUUACUAAAAACACAGGGCUCUGCGAAGCCGUAAGGCGACGUAUAGGGUCUGACGCCUGCCCGGUGCCGGAAGGUUAAAAGGAGAUGUGCAAGCAUUGAAUUGAAGCCCCGGUAAACGGCGGCCGUAACUAUAACGGUCCUAAGGUAGCGAAAUUCCUUGUCGGGUAAGUUCCGACCUGCACGAAUGGCGUAACGACUUCCCCGCUGUCUCAAAUGUGGACUCAGCGAAAUUGAAUUGUCUGUGAAGAUGCAGACUUCCCGCGGUUAGACGGAAAGACCCCAUGCACCUUUACUAUAGCUUCGCACUGGCAUCAGGAUUGUGAUGUGCAGGAUAGGUGGUAGGCAUUGAAACCGGGACGCCAGUUCCGGUGGAGCCAUCCUUGAGAUACCACCCUUCGCACUCUUGAUGUCUAACCGCGGCCCGUUAUCCGGGUCCGGGACCCUGCGUGGUGGGUAGUUUGACUGGGGCGGUCGCCUCCCAAAAAGUAACGGAGGCGCGCGAAGGUUGGCUCAGAGCGGUCGGAAAUCGCUCGUUGAGUGCAAUGGCAGAAGCCAGCCUGACUGCAAGACUGACAAGUCGAGCAGAGACGAAAGUCGGCCAUAGUGAUCCGGUGGUCCCGAGUGGAAGGGCCAUCGCUCAACGGAUAAAAGGUACGCUGGGGAUAACAGGCUGAUGAUGCCCAAGAGUCCAUAUCGACGGCAUCGUUUGGCACCUCGAUGUCGGCUCAUCUCAUCCUGGGGCUGGAGCAGGUCCCAAGGGUAUGGCUGUUCGCCAUUUAAAGAGGUACGUGAGCUGGGUUUAGAACGUCGUGAGACAGUUCGGUCCCUAUCUGCCGUGGGUGUAGGAUACUUGAGAGGAGUUGCCCCUAGUACGAGAGGACCGGGGUGAACGUUCCACUGGUGGACCAGUUGUCGUGCCAACGGCAGUGCUGGGUAGCUAUGAACGGACAGGAUAAACGCUGAAGGCAUCUAAGCGUGAAGCCCCCCUCAAAACAAGGUAUCCCUUGAGAGCCGUGGAAGACCACCACGUCGAUAGGCCGGAGAUGUAAGUGCAGCAAUGCAUUCAGUUGACCGGUACUAAUGGCUCGAU
rnacentral:rRNA from 1 species